GGCUGAACCCUGAACGGCCUCUAAUACCGGUUGAGCUAGAGGGUACUUCCGGUAGGCGGAAAGUAGGUUGUAACGGCGACAGGCUUAGAGAUCAUACAGACACCCGAUUGCGAAGGCAGCUUACCCAACCUAUAUCAGACGUUGAGGCACGCAAGCAUGGGAAGCAAACAGGAUUAGAUACCCUGGUAGUCCACGCAGUAAACGAUGAUAACUCGUUGUAGGCGAUACACAGUCGGUGACUAAGCGACAGCGACAAGUAAUCCACCUGGGGAGUACGGUUCGCAAGAAUGAAACUCAAAGGAAUGCAACGGGGGCCCGCACAAGCGGAGGAACAUGUGGUAUAAUUCGAUGAUACGCGAGGAACCUUACCCGGGCUUGAAAGUUAGCGACGAUUCAUGCAAGAGGAUUUCCCUUCGGGGCGUGUAACUAGGUGCUGCAUGGUCGUCGUCAGCUCGUACCAUGAGGUGUCGGGUUAAGUCCCAUAACGAGCGCAACCCCUACCGUUAGUCGCCAUCAGGUGAAGCUGGGCACUCAGGCGGGACAGCCGGUGUAAGCCGAGAGGAAGGUGGGGACGACGUCAAAUCAGCACGGCCCUUACGUCCGGGGCUACACACGUGUUACAAUGGUAGGUACAGAGGGCAGCUACCCAGCGAUGGGAUGCGAAUCUCGCAAGCCUAUCUCAGUUCGGAAUGGAGGCUGAAACCCGCCUCCAUGAAGUUGGAUUCGCUAGUAAUCGCGCAUCAGCCAUGGCGCGGUGAAUACGUUCCCGGGCUUUGUACACACCGCCCGUCAAGCCAUGGGAGCCGGGGGUGCCUGAAGUUCGUGACCGCAAGGAGCGACCUAGGGCAAAACUGGUGACUGGGGCUAAGUCGUAACAAGGUAGCCGUACCGGAAGGUGCGGCUG
rnacentral:rRNA from 1 species